UACGUAGGGCGCAAGCGUUGUCCGGAAUUAUUGGGCGUAAAGAGCUCGUAGGCGGUUUGUCGCGUCUGCUGUGAAAACCGUAGUCAACCUCGGACUUGCAGUGGGUACGGGCAGACUAGAGUGUGGUAGGGGGAGACUGGAAUUCCUGGUGUAGCGGUGGAAUGCGCAGAUAUCGGGAGGAACACCAGUGGCGAAGGCGGCGAUCUGGGGAAGAUACUGACGCUGAGGUGCGAAAGCGUGGGGGAGCAAACAGGG
rnacentral:rRNA from 1 species